rnacentral:rRNA from 1 species
AUUGAACGCUGGCGGAAUGCUUUACACAUGCAAGUCGAACGGUAGAGGGGGCAACCCCUCGAGAGUGGCGAACGGGUGAGUAAUAUAUCGGAACGUGCCCAGUCGUGGGGGAUAACGUAGCGAAAGUUACGCUAAUACCGCAUACGAUCUAAGGAUGAAAGCGGGGGAUCGCAAAACCUCGCGCGAUUGGAGCGGCCGAUAUCAGAUUAGGUAGUUGGCGGGGUAAAGGCUCACCAAGCCAACGAUCUGUAGCUGGUCUGAGAGGACGACCAGCCACACUGGAACUGAGACACGGUCCAGACUCCUACGGGAGGCAGCAGUGGGGAAUUUUGGACAAUGGACGCAAGUCUGAUCCAGCCAUUCCGCGUGCAGGAUGAAGGCCCUCGGGUUGUAAACUGCUUUUGUACGGAACGAAAAGGUCUCUCUUAAUACGGGGGACUCAUGACGGUACCGUAAGAAUAAGCACCGGCUAACUACGUGCCAGCCGCCGCAGUAA